rnacentral:rRNA from 1 species
CCUAUGGGGUGCACCAGGCGAGAAAACUUUGCAAUGUGCGAAAGCACGACAAGGUUAAUCCGAGUGAUUUGUGCUAAACGAAUCCUUUUGUUAGUCCUAGAACCACUAACGAANAAGGGGUGGGCAAGUACUG